AACGAACGCUGGCGGCAUGCCUAACACAUGCAAGUCGAACGAGACCUUCGGGUCUAGUGGCGCACGGGUGCGUAACGCGUGGGAAUCUGCCCUUCGGUUGGGCAUAACUGAGAGAAAUUUCAGAUAAUACCUUAUAAUGUCUUCGGACCAAAGAUUUAUCGCGGCGGGAUGAGCCAGCGUAGGAUUCGGUAGUUGGUGGGGUAAUGGCCUACCAAGCCGACGAUCCUUAGCUGGUCUGAGAGGAUGAUCAGCCACACUGAGACUGAGACACGGCCCAGACUCCUACGGGAGGCAGCAGUGGGGAAUAGUGGACAAUGGGCGAAGUCCUGAUCCAGCAAUGCCGCGUGAGUGAUGAAGGCCUUAGGGUUGAAAAGCUCUUUUACCCGGGAUGAUAAUGACAGUACCGGGAGAAUAAGCCCCGGCUAACUCCGUG
rnacentral:rRNA from 1 species